UAGGGAAUCUUCCACAAUGGGCGAAAGCCUGAUGGAGCAACGCCGCGUGUGUGAUGAAGGGCUUCGGCUCGUAAAACACUGUUGUAAGAGAAGAAUGACAUUGAGAGUAACUGUUCAAUGUGUGCGGUAUCUUACCAGAAAGGAACGGCUAAAUACGUGCUAG
rnacentral:rRNA from 1 species